rnacentral:ncRNA from 1 species
UUAAACGCAAUGAUGAGAAGAGUAGGUGCGUGACUUCCUAAUAAGAGAGCUCUUGGUGGUGGGAAAGAGCAGGAAGAAUGCAGUGAAGCAAAUCUCUGAGCAGCACAAAGGAACCUUUUUUGAGGGGAUGGUGUGACGGGAGCUCCCGUUAUAGAGCUUAGAGUAUCGCUUUUUAGCCGUACCUGACGAGGCUGGUAUGGCAACAUAUCAACAAACCUGGAGUGGCACCGCGAAUUCAAUCUCGCCUCCAAG